UACGGAGGGGGCGAGCGUUAUUCGGAAUUAUUGGGCGUAAAGAGCUCGUAGGCGGCUUGUCGCGUCGUCCGUGAAAACCUGCGGCUCAACUGCAGGCUGGCGGUCGAUACGGGCAGGCUGGAGUUCGGUAGGGGAGACUGGAAUUCCAGGUGUGAGCGGUGGAAAUGACGUAGAUAUCUGGAGGAACACCGGUGGCGAAGGCGGCAUCCUGGAGCCGAUACUGACGCUGAGGAGCGAAAGCCAGGGGAGCAAACGGG
rnacentral:rRNA from 1 species